CAAAUUUAAGUUUUUUAUUGUUUUCUUUCUUUCUUGAGUUAGGGUCAAGUAAUAGGGAACACAUUGAAUUAGUUUAAGACUCGAACUUUGAAUCGAGAACUGGGUAUUGAAAUGAGUUCAGGCAGUAAUUGGGUAUUGUCAAAACUAUUACGUUAACAUUUGGUUAUGAUCAUCGUACACGUACCUCAAAAUUAGCAUACUUACCUGUUAUAAUCUUAAUUCUUCAUGCUGUCUGAGAUUGUCUCCCCAUACGCACCUUUCUCCUUUUACUUUCUUUUAUCCUUAUCGACUCGUGGUACCAUCUCAAGUAUAUCCUUUGAUUUUUUUUUGUCCGUUUCAUGCCCUUUUUAUUUGAAAUU